AGAGGAAGUAAAAGUCGUAACAAGGUUUCCGUAGGUGAACCUGCGGAAGGAUCAUUAUCGAAUUUUGAAGUCCGUCUUGAGCUGGCAUUGCAGGUGCUCGGUCGGGUCUUUCAUCCAUUCUACCCCUGUGCACUUUGAAACGUCGGUCUGGGUUGGGGUGCUCGCUGUAUGCGUGUGCUUCGCUUAGCCUCGUUUUAUUACAAACACCCUUUAUUGUCUUGUAGAAUGUAUUGCUCAGUUAUGAGCUAAAAGUUAAUACAACUUUCAACAACGGAUCUCUUGGCUCUCGCAUCGAUGAAGAACGCAGCGAAAUGCGAUAAGUAAUGUGAAUUGCAGAAUUCAGUGAAUCAUCGAAUCUUUGAACGCACCUUGCGCUCCUUGGUAUUCCGAGGAGCAUGCCUGUUUGAGUGUCAUGUUAUUCUCAAUCCCUUCUGCUUUGCGGCAGUCGGGUUUGGAUGUGGAGGCUUGUGCUGGCCCCUCGCGGUCGGCUCCUCUUGAAUGCAUUAGCUGGGCUUAUGCUCGAUGCAACGGUGUAAUAAUGUCUUUUCACCGGGGUAACUUGCAAUGGAAAGUCCGCUUCUAAUCGUCUCGCAUGAGACAUUGUAAAGGGAUUGAUUUCUCUUUGACACCUUUGACCUCAAAUCAGGUAGGACUACCCGCUGAACUUAAGCAUAUCAA
rnacentral:rRNA from 1 species